AGGGCUAGCCUCCAAAUGGUGAAUGCCUCCUGGAUGAGGACUGCUUCCUGAGAAGGAAUGUUCCACAGCUAUGAGAUGCUCAUCAGCUGGCAUCCUGUGGUGAGCAGAAGAGUUUCAUUGUCAUCUUUACAUGAAUGUAUUGUGAAAGGGACUACGUAGACAACUCUAUAAAGAAAAGGAGAAGAAAAGAAAGAGGAGAAAGUGCUGAGAUAGACAGCAAAUGAACUCCAGAGAAGAAGAUUUCAGGUGCUGUCACUGAUUACUGUUUAUUACGGGGAGCAAGAGAUAAGAGACCUAAGUGCAAUUUCAAGUGUAGAGAUGAGGUCAGCAAGUCUGCAACAAAUAUGAUUACUUGGAUGGAGGUGACAUGAUUUACUUAAAUCAAGCAAUUUGCCCAUUAAAGCAUUGAAGCCUCAACUCAUAAAAAGACUGCUUAGCAGAUGAACUAUAAUGUCUUCUAGCAUUUGUUAUGUUAGGUGAUUUGAAUGACAACAAUUACAUGUAAAAUGAAUGUAUUUCUAUGCUGACUGGGAAAAAUCCUGGUUUUGCAUCAGGAGGUGGCUAGUUUUCAUGAAUAGAAUGGGCUCCUUGAUAAAUGCUUCUGUAUAUAUAUUGUACAAUUUACUAUAUAUAGACACGUUUAAGUUUAUAUUGCCAGAACAACUAAUGCAGGGAUGAAUGAUUAGGGUGGUUACUUACCUACAGUCCUCUCCUUCCCUCUUUCAAAUUCAGAUCUUUUCUCCUUUCCUUCUCCCCCAUAGGAGAAGGUUAGGUACUAAAAACCCCAAUACAGUGUGUGGGUUCCCUCUGCCCUCAAUUAGCAAGGGUUAUUAAACUGGUGAAAUCUUGAACUACUGUGUUAGGUUCCUUCCAGCAUUAUGAGCUGAGCCAGAGUCUACACAAUAAAACCUGAUUAAUUAGCAAAGAAUGAA